CAAAGGAGAGAUCCGGUACCGGCUGGGCAUGCGGCGCAUUAGCUAGUUGGCGGGGCAACGGCCCACCAAGGCGACGAUGCGUAGGGGUUCUGAGAGGAAGGUCCCCCACACUGGAACUGAGACACGGUCCAGACACCUACGGGAGGCAGCAGUGAGGAAUAUUGGUCCAUGGGCGCAAGCCUGAACCAGCCAAGUCGCGUGAGGGAAGACGGCCCUACGGGUUGUAAACCUCUUUUGCCGGGGAGCAAGCCUGAGCACGUGUGCCCAGGCGGAGAGUACCCGGAGAAAAAGCAUCGGCUAACUCCGUGCCAGCAGCCGCGGUAAUACGGAGGAUGCGAGCGUUAUCCGGAUUUAUUGGGUUUAAAGGGUGCGCAGGCGGGCUGUUAAGCCGGCGGUAAAAAUUCAGGGCUCAACCCUGUCGAGCCGUCGGAACUGGCAGUCUUGAGUGGGCGAGAAGUAUGCGGAAUGCGUGGUGUAGCGGUGAAAUGCAUAGAUAUCACGCAGAACGCCGAUUGCGAAGGCAGCAUACCGGCGCCCAACUGACGCUGAGGCACGAAAGCGUGGGGAUCGAACAGGAUUAGAUACCCUGGUAGUCCACGCAGUAAACGAUGAGCGCUAACUGUCCGGAGCGAGCGAGCUCUGG
rnacentral:rRNA from 1 species